rnacentral:rRNA from 1 species
AAAAAAGGUAAGCUACUAAGAGCGAAUGGUGGAUGCCUUGACUGGUAAAGGCGAUGAAGGACGUACUAGACUGCGAUAAGCUACGGGGAGCUGUCAAGAAGCUUUGAUCCGUAGAUUUCCGAAUGGGGCAACCCAAUGUAUAGAGAUAUACAUUACCUAUAUAGGAGCGAACGAGGGGAAUUGAAACAUCUUAGUACCCUCAGGAAAAGAAAUCAAUAGAGAUUGCGUCAGUAGCGGCGAGCGAAAGCGCAAGAGGGCAAACCCAGUGCUUGCACUGGGGGUUGUAGGACUGCAAUGUGCAAGAGGUAAGUUUAGCAGAACAUUCUGGAAAGUAUAACCAUAGAGGGUGAUAGUCCCGUAUGCGAAAAACAAACCUUAGCUAGCAGUAUCCUGAGUAGGGCGGGACACGAGGAAUCCUGUCUGAAUCCGGGUCGACCACGAUCCAACCCUAAAUACUAAUACCAGAUCGAUAGUGCACAAGUACCGUGAGGGAAAGGUGAAAAGAACUGAGGUGAUCAGAGUGAAAUAGAACCUGAAACCAUUUGCUUACAAUCAUUCAGAGCCCUAUGUAGCAAUACAGGGUGAUGGACUGCCUUUUGCAUAAUGAGCCUGCGAGUUGUGGUGUCUGGCAAGGUUAAGCAAACGCGAAGCCGUAGCGAAAGCGAGUCUGAAUAGGGCGCUUAGUCAGAUGCUGCAGACCCGAAACGAAGUGAUCUAUCCAUGAGCAAGUUGAAGCUAGUGUAAGAACUAGUGGAGGACUGAACCCAUAGGCGUUGAAAAGCCCCGGGAUGACUUGUGGAUAGGGGUGAAAGGCCAAUCAAACUUCGUGAUAGCUGGUUCUCUCCGAAAUAUAUUUAGGUAUAGCGUUGUGUCGUAAUAUAAGGGGGUAGAGCACUGAAUGGGCUAGGGCAUACACCAAUGUACCAAACCCUAUCAAACUCCGAAUACCUUAUAUGUAAUCACAGCAGUCAGGCGGCGAGUGAUAAAAUCCGUCGUCAAGAGGGAAACAACCCAGACUACCAGCUAAGGUCCCUAAAUCUUACUUAAGUGGAAAACGAUGUGAAGUUACUUAAACAACCAGGAGGUUGGCUUAGAAGCAGCCAUCCUUUAAAGAAAGCGUAAUAGCUCACUGGUCUAGUGAUUUUGCGCGGAAAAUAUAACGGGGCUAAAGUAAGUACCGAAGCUGUAGACUUGCACACAACUUAGAUUAUUUAAGUUUAGAAUAUGAGAAACUAAGUUAUAUGUUUAGUUAUAUUUUUACUGAUUUUUAUAGAGUAAAGAUAGAAAUAAAACUUAGUAAAAUCAGUAAAAAUAUUCUUAGACUAAAGUUAAGUAGUUUAAGUUGUGUGCAAGUGGUAGGAGAGCGUUCUAUUUGCGUCGAAGGUAUACCGGUAAGGAGUGCUGGAGCGAAUAGAAGUGAGCAUGCAGGCAUGAGUAGCGAUAAUUAAUGUGAGAAUCAUUAACGCCGUAAACCCAAGGUUUCCUACGCGAUGCUCGUCAUCGUAGGGUUAGUCGGGUCCUAAGUCGAGUCCGAAAGGGGUAGACGAUGGCAAAUUGGUUAAUAUUCCAAUACCAACAUUAGUGUGCGAUGGAAGGACGCUUAGGGCUAAGGGGGCUAGCGGAUGGAAGUGCUAGUCUAAGGUCGUAGGAGGUUGUACAGGCAAAUCCGUAUAACAAUACUCCGAGAACUGAAAGGCUUUUUGAAGUCUUCGGAUGGAUAGAAGAACCCCUGAUGCUGUCGAGCCAAGAAAAGUUUCUAAGUUUAGCUAAUGUUGCCCGUACCGUAAACCGACACAGGUGGGUGGGAUGAGUAUUCUAAGGCGCGUGGAAGAACUCUCUUUAAGGAACUCUGCAAAAUAGCACCGUAUCUUCGGUAUAAGGUGUGGUUAGCUUUGUAUUAGGAUUUACUCCGAAAGCAAGGAAACUUACAACAAAGAGUCCCUCCCGACUGUUUACCAAAAACACAGCACUCUGCUAACUCGUAAGAGGAUGUAUAGGGUGUGACGCCUGCCCGGUGCUCGAAGGUUAAUUGAUGGGGUUAGCAUUAGCGAAGCUCUUGAUCGAAGCCCGAGUAAACGGCGGCCGUAACUAUAACGGUCCUAAGGUAGCGAAAUUCCUUGUCGGUUAAAUACCGACCUGCAUGAAUGGCGUAACGAGAUGGGAGCUGUCUCAAAGAGGGAUCCAGUGAAAUUGUAGUGGAGGUGAAAAUUCCUCCUACCCGCGGCAAGACGGAGAGACCCCGUGGACCUUUACUACAGCUUGACACUGCUACUUGGAUAAGAAUGUGCAGGAUAGGUGGGAGGCUUUGAGUAUAUGACGCCAGUUGUAUAUGAGCCAUUGUUGAGAUACCACUCUUUCUUAUUUGGGUAGCUAACCAGCUUGAGUUAUCCUCAAGUGGGACAAUGUCUGGUGGGUAGUUUGACUGGGGCGGUCGCCUCCCAAAUAAUAACGGAGGCUUACAAAGGUUGGCUCAGAACGGUUGGAAAUCGUUCGUAGAGUAUAAAGGUAUAAGCCAGCUUAACUGCAAGACAUACAAGUCAAGCAGAGACGAAAGUCGGUCUUAGUGAUCCGGUGGUUCUGUGUGGAAGGGCCAUCGCUCAAAGGAUAAAAGGUACCCCGGGGAUAACAGGCUGAUCUCCCCCAAGAGCUCACAUCGACGGGGAGGUUUGGCACCUCGAUGUCGGCUCAUCGCAUCCUGGGGCUGGAGCAGGUCCCAAGGGUAUGGCUGUUCGCCAUUUAAAGCGGUACGCGAGCUGGGUUCAGAACGUCGUGAGACAGUUCGGUCCCUAUCUGCCGUGGGCGUAAGAAGAUUGAAGAGAUUUGACCCUAGUACGAGAGGACCGGGUUGAACAAACCACUGGUGUAGCUGUUGUUCUGCCAAGAGCAUCGCAGCGUAGCUAAGUUUGGAAAGGAUAAACGCUGAAAGCAUCUAAGCGUGAAGCCAACUCUAAGAUGAAUCUUCUCUAAGCUCUCUAGAAGACUACUAGUUUGAUAGGCUGGGUGUGUAAUGGAUGAAAGUCCUUUAGCUGACCAGUACUAAUAGAGCGUUUGGCUUAUCUUUAAUAAAGCAU